AUUUUUUACAUUAAAAGAGUAUCUUACUUUUAAAAAGACUGAGAAUAACUGCUCUAGAAUGUCCAAGUAACAUGACAUUGAUUUAAAGAAAAACAUUCAAUAAAAAUACAACCACAGGUCACUGACUCGUUAGCGCUGUCAUGGCGGGUGUGCUAAAGACCACUGGCCUUGUGGGAUUGGCUGUGUGCAAAAGUCCACACAAGAAGCUAAGAAUAUUGUACAGAAAGAUUCUUGAUGCUCUUGAGGGAAUCCCUAAAAAUGCAGCAUACAUAAAGUAUAUAGAACAGAUUACAAAAGAGAAGCUGGUUAUGGUUAAAGCAGCUGAAUAUGAACUAAGUCUGGCAAGAAAAAGAUGACACAGGAACCAUGGGAGCUGUCAGUAGAAGAGCCUCCUGCCAAUCGAUGGAAAUGGCCAAUAUAAUUAAGUGACUUUGGUGGGCUGAUGGAAAACUGAUGUAAUUAAAUACUAUGUUAUAUUAAGAGCACGUUCAUAUUACUGACAUAAGCAAGAAAAAUGACAUAAAAAAUAUCUAGGAGACUGCUAAAAUUAGUGAUAAUGAUAAUACGGUCAUGUGCAUCCAUUUUUGAUUUGUAAAGUAUUCACACAAAUUAUUUCAAAGAUUAUAUUUCUAUGAACAGAGAGGUCACAGGAAGAUGUGAAAAUAAUUAGAAAAAUUCCUACAGAUCUUCAAUGUAGAGGCCAUAAUCAAAAAGUAAAGUUCCUUUAGUAGUAUGUUCAACACAUCAUUUAAUUUUUUAAAUUAUCCUGAAGAAAACAAAUUUAUAGAUUGCUGUUUGAAAUAAAUAACAGUGAAUAUUUUCAAAUGUGAUAAAAUAGCACAAGUGACUGUGAUAAAAUUUGAAAUUAUGGUGAACCUCCUUAGCUGUGAUCUUAUGUAUGUAAAGUAAAAUUUAAAUAUAUAAUUAUACAUUGAUUACAAAAUCCAUAAUGUAAUUUUAUUUUUGUCAUUAUUUGAAUUAUACCAUUUACUGUUUUCUUAUAGUCUUAAUUUUAUUAUAUUUUGUUGUUACUGCAUUAUAUUUGAAAACCAUCAAAUUAGAAUGCAUUUACAGUUGAAGAAAUUGACUUGGUACUUAAAAGAAAGAUUUCCCAUUGCAUAGAGGUACUUGGAAAAACUUUUCCUUUUGUUGCAUUUGUGGAAGUUAGUUUUCUGGCCUGUGGCCUUUAAUUUUCUUAACCAACCUAAUUAUAUCAGGAUAGAGAUAGAGUUUCUGUAAAAGAAGAUAUAUUAAGAGUUCCUGAAAUUUAUAUUGGGCAUAUGGAUAGGCCUAUAUUCAAAACAUCUUACUCAUAUGACUAUAAAUUCAAAGUGGAAUCACUAAGUAGUUUUCAGUAUGUUUCCAAUGUAAGUAUAGGUGGGUACCAAAACAAGACAAAUGCUGUUCAGGGAAAGAAGCUGGCAAGCUUAAGGUUAAACAAAAAUAAAAUUACAUGUGUUUUUGCCUU